rnacentral:rRNA from 1 species
GGUGAGUAACACGUGGAUAACCUACCUGUAAGACUGGGAUAACUUCGGGAAACCGGAGCUAAUACCGGAUAAUAUAUUGAACUGCAUGGUUCAAUAGUGAAAGACGGUUUUGCUGUCACUUAUAGAUGGAUCCGCGCCGCACUAGCUAGUUGGUAAGGUAACGGCUUACCAAGGCAACGAUGCGUAGCCGACCUGAGAGGGUGAUCGGCCACACUGGAACUGAGACACGGUCCAG